rnacentral:rRNA from 1 species
ACGGGGUGCAGCAGGCGCGAAAACUUUACCAUGCGGGCAACCGUGAUAAGGAAACCCCGAGUGCCAGCACAGGCUGGCUGUCCACCAGUGUAAAUAACUGGUGAAGAAAGGGCCGGGCAAGACCGGUGCCAGCCGCCGCGGUAAUACCGGCGGCUCGAGUGGUGGCCGCUAUUACUGGGCUUAAAGGGUCCGUAGCUGGAUAUACAAGUCCCUUGAGAAAUCCGCCGGCUUAACCGGUGGGCGUUCAGGGGAAACUGUAUUUCUAGGGACCGGGAGAGGUGAGAGGUACUGCCGGGGUAGGAGUGAAAUCCUGUAAUCCCGGUGGGACCACCUAUGGCGAAGGCAUCUCACCAGAACGGGUCCGACAGUGAGGGACGAAAGCUGGGGGAGCAAACCGGAUUAGAUACCCGGGCAGUCCCAGCUGUAAACGAUGCGCGUUAGGUGUGUCAGUGACCACGUGUCACUGAGGUGCCGAAGGGAAACCGUGAAACGCGCCGCCUGGGGAGUACGGUCGCAAGGCUGAAACUUAAAGGAAUUGGCGGGGGAGCAC